rnacentral:rRNA from 1 species
UAACGCGAAGAACCUUACCAGGUCUUGACAUCCCUUGACAACUCCAGAGAUGGAGCGUUCCCUUCGGGGACAAGGUGACAGGUGGUGCAUGGUUGUCGUCAGCUCGUGUCGUGAGAUGUUGGGUUAAGUCCCGCAACGAGCGCAACCCUUAUUACUAGUUGCCAGCAUUCAGUUGGGCACUCUAGUGAGACUGCCGGUGACAAACCGGAGGAAGGUGGGGAUGACGUCAAAUCAUCAUGCCCCUUAUGACCUGGGCUACACACGUGCUACAAUGGCGUAUACAACGAGUUGCCAACCCGCGAGGGUGAGCUAAUCUCUUAAAGUACGUCUCAGUUCGGAUUGUAGGCUGCAACUCGCCUACAUGAAGUCGGAAUCGCUAGUAAUCGCGCAGCAC